rnacentral:rRNA from 1 species
GAUUAACGCUGGCGGCGUGCAUAACACAUGCCAGUCGAACGAUGAAACUUUAAUGAACCCUUCGGGGAGAAUUAAAGCGGAUUAGUGGCGAACGGGUGAGUAACGCGUGAGUAACCUGCCUUACACAAGGGGAUAGCCUUUGGAAACGAAGAAUAAUACCCUAUAAAACCAUAAAAGCACAUGCAAUUAUGGUCAAAGUGAUAGCGGUGUAAGAUGGACUUGCGUCUGAUUAGCUAGUUGGUGAGAUAAAAGCCCACCAAGGCAACGAUCAGUAGCCGGCUUGAGAGAGUGUACGGCCACAUUGGGACUGCGACACGGCCCAGACUCCCACGGGAGGCAGCAGUGGGGAAUUUUGCACAAUGGGGGAAACCCUGAUGCAGCGACGCCGCGUGAUUUAGAAGGCCUUCGGGUUGUAAAAAUCUUUUGUAUAGGAAGAAAAUGACAGUACUAUACGAAUAAGGUCCGGCUAAUUACGUG